UCGGGAAUCUUGGGCAAUGGGCGAAAGCCUGACCCAGCAACGCCGCGUGAGGGAUGAAGUAUUUCGGUAUGUAAACCUCGAAAGAAUGGGAAGAAUAAAUGACGGUACCAUUUAUAAGCUCCGGCUAACUACGUGCCAGCAGCCACGGUAAUACGUAGGGAGCAAGCGUUGUUCGGAUUUACUGGGCGUAAAGGGCGCGUAGGCGGCGCGGUAAGUCACUUGUGAAAUCUCUGAGCUUAACUCAGAACGGCCAAGUGAUACUGCUGUGCUAGAGUGCGGAAGAGNCAACCGGAAUUCUUGGUGUAGCGGUGAAAUGCGUAGAUAUCAAGAGGAACACCUGAGGCGAAGGCGGGUUGCUGGGCCGACACUGACGCUGAUGCGCGAAAGCCAGGGGAGCAAACG
rnacentral:rRNA from 1 species